GCUGAGGUUGUCUAGUCUGGUAGGGCGCGGGCCUGGAAAGCCCGUGGGGCAUUAGCCCCUCGGGAGUUCAAAUCUCCCCCUCAGCG
rnacentral:tRNA from 1 species